CCACGACUGAGCUUGAAAGCUGCAUUGUAUUUGCGGACUAAACCAGUUGGUUACCUCUAUUUUGUUAAUUUGUUUUUUGACUCAUUCA